AAAUCGAACUAUUUACCUAUCUAGCCUCUUUACAAAAAAAAUAUUCCCUAUCUAGCCUUCUUUUGAAAAAUAUUUCCCAUCUAGCCUCAUUUUCAAAGAUUAAAGAAAAAAAGAGAAAUUAAUACCUUUAAUAUAUAUUAAGGGGUUAAGUGGGGGAGAUUAUCUUUUUUUCUCUCUCCUCUCCUAUUUCUCGAGAUCCCUUCUCACUCUCUAAUUAUUGCAUAUAAUUUAUCUCAUAUCGAUUUAUUUCAAAAUAGAAAAUUUUCAUAUAGCGCAUCAACCAAUUCCAAGUUGAUUAUAAUGGUCCAGAUCCAAAACUAUUUGGAUUUCUCGUACUUUAGGUUUUAAUACAUUAAAACGUGAAAUUAUAGGCCGAAUGGGAUCAAGAUUAUUUUAAUAUAAAAAUUAAUAGGAGAGGAGAGAGAAAAAUAUAAUCUUCCCCACUUAACCCCUUAAUAUAUAUUAAAGGAAUUAAUUUCUCUUUUUUUCUCUAAUCUUUGAAAAUGAGGCUAGAUAGGAAAUAUUUUUCAAAAGGAGACUAGAUAAGAAAUAUUUUUUUGUAGAGAGGCUAGAUAGGUAAAUAGAUUGAAAAAAUCAUGAUAGCGAAAAAAAGAUACUGAUGGUAUAAAAAAAUAAAGAAUAAAAAACGAAGAAAAAUAUUUUUUCUAAAAAAAAUAAAAAAAUUAUAGAAAAAAAAGAAAAUGAUUAAAUUGCACUGUUUCAGAAAAACGUUGCACUGUUUUAAAUGAAAGUUAUACUUUUGAGAUACAAAUUACAUUUUUUGAAAAAAAAAAAAAAAAGUUG
rnacentral:lncRNA from 1 species